CCCCCGCGGACCCAGCGGGCGCGGCUUUGGGCGCGACAGGCUCCGCUCGCAGGGCGGGGCCAGGAGCGGAAGUGACGUCAUCCAUUUGGGGGGUCGCCCGCGGUAACCGGCAGAGCCGGGAUAUUGGGGUUGAGCUUCGUGGGUCAGACACUGUUGCCCCAAUUGUGGUCUGGGAGCCCAGGCUGAGCAGCUGCUGCUCCCCCAGUGGGAUCGGGGCAGGGGAGUGACCGUGAGUGAAGCUUCCUGUGCCAGCCAAGGAUAACAAGCUUGUGGAUAGAGGGGAAACAGUAGACAUGGUAUAUGGUGACUUCAGUAAUGCUUUUGAUGCUGUCUUGCAUGACCUUCUCCUAAACAAACUAGAGAAGUACAACUGGAAUGGAACUAUCAUUAGAGUCGAGAACAUCCAUCUGCGAGGAAAGAGCCUGGGGGAAUUGUGAUGUGACGUGACUGUCCUGUUUUGACACGUCCCCUUCAUGCCCUGACAGGCUGCAGUGUCACGUCCCAUCCUCCCAGGGAAGAGAGAUGGCUGCCGUGGGGCCAGCUCAGAUAGGGAUUAUCGGGCAGUUGCUGGUGGGCUCCUGUUGGCAGCAAAAAGGCUGUAAAGCCAUAGGAGGGGCUGGUGACUUUCGAGGAGGUGGCUGUGUAUUUCACCAGGGAAGAGGGGGCUCUGCUGGACCC